rnacentral:rRNA from 1 species
AUGGCUCGAACUCUGCUAGUAAACAACCAUAAAGAGAUGGACCCUGGGAAUGGUUUUCUUUCUGCUAAGCUAACUGAUGAUCUGGUGGUGGAGAUCCUCUCCCGGCUGCCGUUCAAGUCUUUUUGCCGCUUCAAAUCUGUUUGCAAGGCCUGGCUUGCCUUAUCCUCCGAUCCGCAAUACUGCAAGAAGCUUCUGAAAAUUCCAACUGGUCUUCUCUACCAACGACGUUAUCACUCUGCUAUCAAGCUCGCUAGCCUGCCCCACAAUGAUAAGGAUUUUGAUGAAGCUCUUAGUUUCCUACCACAGUAUGAGCAAUUAGAGCUGAUGGACUCUUGCAAUGGCCUAGUCCUUUGUAAGUACAAGAACAGGAACAACUAUACUCCUCUAGGUAUUUGCCGCUUUAUCGUGUGCAAUCCGGCAACACGAGAGUGGAAGAUGCUCCGGGAUACUCCUCCUAGCCAUUAUGACCCUUUUUACAAUAUGAGUAUUUUAGCCUUCAGCCCAUCAUGGUCGGCAAACUUCUAUGUCUUCAACUUUCAGUGUCUUAGUACCCUCUGUUUGGGAUUUGGCCCUGUCAAACUUCAGGUGUUCUCGUCUGACCUUUCCACUUGGUUUCUGGACAUCAUGGCUCUCUGA